AGGAUAAACGCUGGCGGCGUGCAUGAGACAUGCAAGUCGAACGGACACUUGGGGCUUGCUCCAAGUGUUAGUGGCGGACGGCUGAGUAACGCGUAGGUGACCUGCCCCGAAGUGGGGAAUAACUGCCCGAAAGGGUGGCUAAUACCGCAUGUGGUGGUGUGUUCAUUCACACCAGUAAAGCCGCAAGGCGCUUCGGGAGGGGCCUGCGUCCGAUUAGCUCGUUGGCGGGGUAACGGCUCACCAAGGCGACGAUCGGUAGGUGGUCUGAGAGGACGAUCACCCAGACUGGGACUGAGACACGGCCCAGACUCCUACGGGAGGCAGCAGUCGGGAAUUUUGCGCAAUGGACGAAAGUCUGACGCAGCAACGCCGCGUUAGGGAUGAAGGCCUUCGGGUUGUAACCUCUUUUAUCAGGGAAGAUAAUGACGGUACCUGAUGAAUAAGUCACGGCUAACUACGUGCCAGCAGCCGC
rnacentral:rRNA from 1 species